rnacentral:rRNA from 1 species
GACGAACGCUGGCGGCGUGCCUAAUACAUGCAAGUCGAGCGGAUCUUGUCCUUCGGGACAAGGUUAGCGGCGGACGGGUGAGUAACACGUAGGCAACCUGCCUGUAAGACCGGGAUAACAUUCGGAAACGGAUGCUAAUACCGGAUAUGCAACUCAGCUGCAUGGCUGAGUUGGGAAAGACGGCGCAAGCUGUCACUUACAGAUGGGCCUGCGGUGCAUUAGCUAGUUGGUGGGGUAACGGCUCACCAAGGCGACGAUGCAUAGCCGACCUGAGAGGGUGAUCGGCCACACUGGGACUGAGACACGGCCCAGACUCCUACGGGAGGCAGCAGUAGGGAAUCUUCCGCAAUGGACGAAAGUCUGACGGAGCAACGCCGCGUGAGUGAUGAAGGUUUUCGGAUCGUAAAGCUCUGUUGCCAGGGAAGAACAGCUAGGCGAGUAACUGCGCUUAGAAUGACGGUACCUGAGAAGAAAGCCCCGGCUAACUACGUGCCAGCAGCCGCAGUAAGAC